AUCGCUUCUCGGCCUUUUGGCUAAGAUCAAGUGAAGAAGUUCUCACCAAUGUUUAUAAACAAGAUUAGUCUUUUUGUGCAAACUUUUUCAGAUUUUAGAAUCGAUAUUUUGCUCAAUUCAUACAAAUAAUUUGGAAGUUUCCCUUCUUUUUCUAUGCUCUGAAAUAGUUUAAAGAGCAUUGCAA